UGCUGUUUACAGUGUACCAUACCGUUUCCUUCUCUGGCAUUAGCUGACUGCAUUUUUUAGUUUUGUGGAAAUUCUGCUUCUCAGUAACAGUGCUGUUCAUGGGGAUCUCAGAAAAAGCAAUUGCUUGGGGUUCAGCAUUCAAAUCUGAAGAGUAGUGCUUCAAGCUGUUACCACUUUGCCUGAGCACUGAUAGCCAAGGACUUUGCUGCAUCAAAAAGACUUGUUUUCAUUUUCUAAGCUAAGUAGAAGUUGGCCACCUUACUUCGAGGAAUAGACCAGCUUGUUAGUUAGGAGAAGUCACCACAAAUUUGGAGUGUCUGGAAGCAGAGUGCUGUCACCCUGGUAUUUAAUCCUGGAAUGUGAAGAUGAGCCUGUGAUCCAAGAACAUUUGAGGAGAGUCCCCUCCCUUGGUCCGCAUGUUUUGCAGCACUGAGCAGCUAGGAGCACUGAGAAUUUAUGCAGGAAUCAGUCCCUCUGACUUCUAUGCCAACAUCCGUAAGAUUUGGAACAGCCAGAACAUACCGUCCUUGAACUCGGGAACAGCAGCUUUUUGCCAAGGUAGGGGACAAGACCCUCUCAAGUAUGAUCUCUAGCUGGUCUUUACCAGCUUUGGCAAGGCAAACCCACCAAAGCUGGAUGAAAUUGUGGAAAGUCCAAAAGAAAUGAAAAAAGAGCAUUUGCUUAUUGUUAGUUCAUCAGUCACCAAGUCAGCAGGCCAAGUUAAACUAAGUCACUUCUUUGCAUUUGA